CAAGAAUUUAUAUCUUUUUUCCAGUAAGAUUUUUGUUCACUUAUUCUUUUCUGGCCAGGAUAAAGUACAAUAGAUAGAAUCAAAACUGAGAUAGCUCUACCAGAAGGUAGGGCAAAUAGAAACUUGGCAUUACUUAGUUCUCCUUUCCCUUUGGGGGAAAUAACUGUGCCCUUGAAUUUCUGCACUAAAUCACCUAGGAGGGAUUGAAAUUAAAAACCUCAGAGAGUAAUUAGCAACAAAACAUUCUAAUGUCAAGAAGUAAAUUUUAUGGAACCUUAUUUGUAAUAGUUAUUGGGCCUCUGUGAAGCCAAAUGGUGAAAUUAUUGCGGCAAUACAAAUAGGCCAAAAAGAGAAAAACAGCCCAAAAUAGCACAGAUAUUGAAAAUCAGGACAGAGAUAAUUUCUCUACACAUAAAAAGCAAUCAAUUGCUAUGCCUUCACUAAUUCAUUAACUGCAAAACAAAGCCUGUUUGUUUGGUACAGCACCAGCUACCCCAUGUUUGAAUUGUUAUGUGACUGAAGUGUGAGAAAUUUGAAUCAUUUAUUCUCCAAAAAGUUUUGCUCACUUAUUAUGCAAGUUUCAGGUCAGAAAAUGUCCACGGUCUUUCCCAUCACAGAGUUUACCAUCUAGUUGUGAGGAAGACAUUGGACCAAUUAUUACCCAAGUGAACCUCUAAUUGCAGACAUAAGAACAAAGACAGCACCAGCCAGGAAGCCUGACCUAGUUUGCAAGUCAAGGAAGACUUCCUGGAGGAAAUGAUAGCUAAACUGGAACCUGUCAGGCCAGGGAUCUAGCUCAGUGGUGCUGCCACCUGCCUCACAAGUGCAAGGUCCCAAGUUUGAUCCCUGAUACUAAAAAAAACAAAAACAAACAAACAAAAAAAAAAACAAUAAGCUGGAACCUGUCAAUGUGGAUAAAUCAGCCAGGUAAAGAAGUAGAUAAAGUGUUCUAGACAAAGAGAACAGCAUUUAGGGAAGUAGACAUGGCAGGGGAGGACCUUGAUGUAGCCAAAGAAUGGAAAACAACAUGUAUUGUGUGAGUGACAAGUAACUGGAGAGUGGGAAAAGUGUGGCUAGAGUUGGAGGCAGAGUCUGGUCUUAGAGCCUUGCUGGAUCACAUGACAUUAGAGCAACAAUCGUUGCUGGACUUGGGUCAGAAGCAAAGAUAAGAGACAUGAAUAAGACCAGGCCCCUCAAGGAUAUUCUGGGCUUCUCGAGGGAACAGCCUAGGAAAAGGUCCAUCUCCCUGGACUGGGCUUAGAGGCACUGCUGGAUAUUCCCCAAUUCUCUGAGCACCCAAGAAAGUCUGUGCAGAGACAUCCAGGACCAUGCCUAACCCAAGACUACUCCAAGCAUCUCUCCUCGAGCCAAUCCUUCUUUUAUUUUCAAGAUGGCACAUCUGUGCUCAAACUCCAGGCCUCAUCUCCCAAGCUCAAAGAGGAAGAACAAUUUACUUCCCUGCCCAGGUCACUUUCCAGUGUCUAAGAGGGUUUCUGGGACCACUGCUUCAGCUGCAGCCUUAAUUCCUUGAUUGCCACCUACAACCCAGCACAUGCAAAGGGGCCAGGGACAGAAUAAUGCCAAGCAUGCCAGACACCAAUUGGCACUGAAUCUAAUCAAAGACCGUUGUUGAUCUCUUUCUUGAUAAAUAUUUAUUAGAGAAUGGAAAAAAAAUCUUUAACAAACUCUCAUAUGAGCAUACGUUGGAUGUACUCAGAAUACAUAGGAUCCCUACCCAGGGAGUGGCAGGAACAGUAUUCCCCUUGUCACCACUAAAGAAAGCAACUCUAUGAAAUGGAGAAUGUUCUCCAAUUAGAACCCAAGGCAAUGGAUCAAAAUUUAUAAUAUGCAGUCGUGAAUUAUAGAACAAUCAGAGAAAUGAUCCCAUAUAGAAACCUGCCAUGCCAGGAAUCUCAGCAAUUUUCUAUGAGAACUCAUCACUAGACAGCCCCCACUGAAACCACACCUGUCCUCAGCCUCCCACCCAUGAUCCCAGGCUAUCAGGCCAGGCUUAGGCUUUUUCUUUUCUUUUUUAAAAUUUGUUAUUAAUAUAUGUUUGUGACAUAUAAUAAUUACAUUCAUUUUUGGGAAUUGGUACAUUCACAUAUUGCAUGUUGAUCAUCUUUACUCUUCUUUCCCUUUCCCCUCUUUUCCUUUCCCAGAUCUUCCCAUCUUCAAAAUCUUCCUGUUUCCUGCCAUCUUUAUUUUGCUGUUUAAAUUAUUUAUAUUUUGGCUUUCUCAUAUGAAAAACCAUGUGAUAUUUAACCUUCUGUGUCUGAUUUACUUCACUUAGCAUUAUAUCUCAAGAUCCAUCAAUUUUCCUACAAAUAACUCAUAUUUAUCCCUCUUAUGGCUGAGUAGUACUCUAUUGUGUAUAUUUUCCACAUUUUCUUUAUCCAUUCAUUUGUUGAUAGGCAUACAGUAUAGGUAACUUCCAGAAUUUAGCUAUUGUGAACUGUGCUGCUAUAAACAUGAGUAUUCAUUAAUCAUUAUAAUAUGAUAACUUUAACUCUUUUGGAAAGAUACCCAGAAAGGGUAUAACUGGGUCAAAUUGAAGUUUUUUACUUUUAGUUUUCUGAGAAAUCUCCAUACUGAUUUUCAUAGGGGUUCUACUAGUUUACAUUCCCAUUAACAAUGUAGAAGUUUCCUUUAUCCCCACAACCUCACCAAAAUUUGUUGUUUCUUGAGUCUUUGAUGAUACCCAUUCUUACUGAAGUAAGAUGGAAUAUCAGUGUUUUGAUUUUUGUUUUUUAAUGGCCAAAGAUGCUGAAAAGCUUUUUAUGUACUUAUUGGUCAUUUGCACUUCUUUUAAGAAGUGCCUAUUCAUUUCAAUUGCCCAUUUUUGAUUGGGUCUUUUGUUUUUUGAGGUCUAAUUUUUUUUCAGUUCUUUAUAAAUUCAAAAUAUUAGUCUUCUCUUCAAGGAGUAGCUGGUAAAAUUAUUUUCCCAUUCAGUAGGUUAUCUCUUCAAUCUAUUUCCUUUGCUAUGCAGAAGUUUUUUUUAAUUUGGGGUAAUGCUAUUCUUAUAUUAUUUCAUGUAUAGUUUGGGAUUCUGUUCAAAAAGAACUAUGCCUAUGCCUUUGUCUUCAAGAAUUAGAUAUUUUGUCUUCCAGCAUGUUCAGCAUCUGUUGUUAUAUGUAGGUCUUUGAUCUAUUUUGAUGUUAUAUUAGCUUAGGAUGAGACGGAUGGGUCUAGAUUCAUUCUUUUACACAUGGAUAACUAAUUUUCCCAGCACCGUGUGUUAAAGAGACUGUCUUUUCUCCAGCAUUUGUUUUUAGUAUCUUUGUCAAAGAUCAGACUAAAGGUGAAAAGGGCUGUUUCUGUAUCUUCUAUUCUUUUCCAAUGCUGUACAUGUCUAUUUUUUAUCCUCUUUUGAUGAUUAUAGCUUUGUAGUAUAACUUGAAAUAUGGAAUUGUAAUGCCUCUUGCUUUGCUCUUAUUGUUCAGGAUUGCUUUGGCUCCAUAUAAAUAGCCUCAUAUAAAUUUUAGGAUUGUUUUUUCUAGUUCUGUGAAGAAUGUUGUUGGUAUUUUGACUGGAAUUGCAUAAAAUCCAAGUAUUAUUUUUGAUAAUACGGUCAUUUUGACAAUAUUGAUUCUGCCCAUCCAGGAAUGUAGGAUAUCUGCCCAUUUUCUAAUGUCCUCUUCAAUCUUUCUUCAGAGUGCUAUAGUUUUCCUUAUAGAUAUUUUUCACUUCCUUGGUUAAGUUAGUACCUAAGUAUUUAAUUUUUUUUUUUUUUUUUUUUUUUUGGUACCCGGGAUGGAACUCAGGACCUUGCGCUUUUGAGGCAGGCAGCGGAACCACUGAGAAAAAUCCCUGGCCCCAGUAUUUAAAUUUUUUGAAGCUACCAUGAAUGGGAUUGUUUUCCUAAUUCCUUUCUUAGUGGGUUCAUUGUUGAUGUACAGUCUUGGAGAUUUUCAAGUUCAGAGUGAACUAUCAGUGAGAAAUCGAGCUUGAGGGUUCUGGAGUCAGGAGUAGACUCACAUCCAGCUCUAGAUACUUCCAAGCUGGAUGACUCCAGGCAAGUGGUUUAAACUUCUAAACCCAGUUUUCUCCUCUGUCAAGUAAAAAUAAUAGCUUCUCUAGAAAGAAUAUGUAUGAGGAUAAUACCUGCAAAACUCUCAACACAGAGCCUAGCACAGGGUAAAUGUUCAUUAAAUAUUUGGAACCUUGCUCCCCUCUCUACCAGCUCAGAUUGGUUGCCAAAAAUUCUGGUUCUCAUUGUAUUUGUGGGAACUGCUUCUCCUUCAAGCCAGCCUAAAAGAGCCAGUUUGCUCACUUUUGCCCAGCUGGGCUAGCAGCAUCCACCUCUUCUCAGCCAGCAUUUAGCUCAGUGCUAGCCUCUUCUCUCUAUUUAACACCAAAAGGUAUUGAUUUUCCUAAGCUAUUUCCAUUAUGCAGUACCCUCAAGAACUAUUUAUUCCAUCAGUUCUCAUCCCCUCUUUUUUUUUCUUUUUCUUUUUCUUUUUUUUGUACUGGGGAUCAAACUUGGGUCCUUGUGCUUUGGAGGCAGGUGGUGGAAACACUGAGCUAAAUCCCCAGCCCAAAUCCCCUCUUUUUUUUUUUUUUUUGGUACCGGUGAUCGAACUCGGGACCUUGCGCUUGCGAAACAGGCACCGGAAGCACUGAGCUAAAUCCCCAGCCCCCAAAUCCCCUCUUCAUAGCCACUCUCCCUUGACCCACAGGAUCCUCAGCUGCUGAGGUAUAGAUCUGUUUCAUUUUGCACUUGCUUAAAGGUCAAACAUGAAUUUCUCCCCAUUAUUGUACUGCAUCUUGUCACACAGACUCUUUGUUUCAUGGAUUAGUCACAGUCUUGCUAUCAAAUUAAAUAUUCCUCGGUGGUUAUUUUUAGAGAGAUCUUUUUCUAACUCUAUGUGGUACAAUGAUGUGUGUGCACCCACAGCUCUGGAAUCCAGGCAUUACCAGGUGGGCUUCAAAAUGCCUCUAGAAAGCAGCAGCCAGCAGAGCAGUGAAGUUUGUAACCUAGCUCUGGCCAUGGGCUUCUACAUCCAGCCCACAAUAUUUAAUCCUCUCUGCCUUGGAUGAGAAAUAAUUCAUUAAUCAGUCUACUAGAAGCCCUAAAGAGACUCUUAGCACAACUCUUAUGAGUUGAGCAAAGCAUGCCUGUGCUAUCUCAAUCUCUUGUUUGGCUGUCUCCUCUAUCCUAGUGUAAGGACACCAAGGAUAAUAGUCCCCUCAGUCCUUGUACCUUCAUGAAGCUUGCUCUCAGAAAAGGGCCUAUCACCAUCCUGACUGAGACCUGAGUCAAUGAUAGUGGUUACAUCCCUGUUUCUUCCUAUAGGUUCUGCCUGCACACUCAGGCAUGCCUCAGUAGAGAAAUGAGGUCUUCAAAACAGAACAGAAUCUCAGAUCUAGUUGGAGUGGGUAGACAUGGGAAGAAGGAGUUUGCUAACGGCGAGUCUUCUUUACCUACUGGAAGGCACUAUGACAAUAAGAAGUUGUACCUUCCUUGGGCCUCAAGGAACUCAAAGGUAGCCAGAGUGACAAAACCCAUAGAUAGACUAAAUUAUAAUUCAAGACAGGAUUUAACAUUUUCCCCUGGGGUAUGGUCUGUGAGGAGCUCUGUCAGAUUUCUUACUCCUCAUGUUCCCUUCCAUGUGUGGGUCUCCACUGACUGUGACAUGUGGGGCCUCUCUCACCCAGAUCAUGUGAGACUAGAGUGAAGUGGAAAAGGGGUAAUUCUCACAUCAGUUUGCAUAUCCAGUUGACCUCACUCUAAACUGCCUCUUUCACUAAGCCUCCAUCACUAAAGAAGAUGACAAUUUGGCUUUCAUCUCAGUUUUUCUUUCUCAAUUUGUUCAGAAGUUGAGUAGGGAAAAGGAACUAUUUGUUGGAGUAUUGGGAGCCCUUUCAAAGAGCCCCUAUAGACUAUAAAUCCUUCAGAUGUUCAGAGGCACAGGAGGCUGAGUGGCUUUAAAAUAUCCAGGAAGGCUUAGCCAAGGAGGCAAGGUCUCAGAGGAUGAGUUUAGUUUAGUUGGAUAUGGCCCAAGAGUAAACAGAAGCAUUCUUGGAGGAGGUCUCAUAAACCAAGGCACAAGAGAGAGGGAGAAACAUACCUAAAUAGGAAGCAAUGACAAGGUAACCAGAGCCCAAGAUUGCCUUGGGAGAGGUGGCAAGUGGAUAGAGGCAGACUGUGGAGAAUUGUGAGCAGUCAGUGUUGACUAAUCAGUUGGUCAAGAUAUAUUCCCAAAGGCUCUUCUAAGUCCAGGGGAAGUGACUACAGGCAGUCAAUGAAGGGUUACAAGACAGUCUAUAUGAGGCCACUGUGAGGCCUUCAAGUGGAAGAAUAUGACUGUUGAAGACUGGCUAGAGGUGCGGAAACAUGCAGGAGGACACAAAUAUUUGAUCUUGAACCAUUCCACCAGCUGAGGACAGCCUGGUUAACCAUUCAGAAAGCUUACUGGGAAAGGUGCAAAUGUGGAUCACUUGAUGGGAACUAUUUUUUCCAGUGAGGAGAAGUAGAAUCAGUAAAUGAACAGUUGAGAAAAAUCAGCAUCUUAUUUAACCACCAAAGAAAGACAGAUUGAAGCUACAAUGAGACCCCUCUUUCACCCAUCAAAGUAAAACAAUAAAAAUAAAUGAUAGUGUCCAGACAAGUGUAUGAGAGUAAGGGAUCUACUCUAAGUGAGUGGGUCCAGUCAGUCCUCCCACCAACAAAUAGCAAGUAGAUAUCAAGAAUCCUAAAUCUAUUAGUUCUAUGAGAAUAUAUCAGAGUAAGUUCCAUUUACAUAGAUAUUCAAUGCAAUGCUGUCUAUAAAUAUUGAAAAUAACUCAAAUGAAUACCAGUAGAGGAUGAAUUGAUUGAACAUGGGGCGUAUUAUGUGAAUUUUAUGUAAUCAAUAAUAUCCAUGAAAGCCAUAUACCAACAUAGAGAAUAUAUAUUUAUGUAACAUUCAGUGGAAAAAUAAUAGGCCUGAAACUGCUCACAAUGUGUGAUUAUGCAAGAAUAAACACAUGUAGAUACAAAUCAGAGGAAUAUAUACUAAGAAGUGCCUCUGUCUUUCUUUCUGGAAUGUAGUUGUAUAAAACAGUGCAGCUUCCUCAGAAGCAUAACACACACAGGCAGAGCACAGAGAUGGACAGCACUGAAGCCCACCUUUCUACCCUCCUGGCAAUGAGCAGAGAUGAUAUCUCAAAGCCAGGCUGUCAUUAUACAGAGAAAAGACAGCAUUAGGCAUGGGUUCCUAUAUCUACCUCAUCCUCCCCAGCCCCACUCAUCUACUAAUCUACCCUGGCAAGCCCAAGCCUUGACUUCCAAGACACAAGGCCUUUUUCUCUUUGUGAUGACUGAGGGCUGUGGUCACUCGGCAAAGCCUAGAGCCCCUCAGUGCCUCUCACACAAUGGUUGGAAAAAGGCAGUCAUCCCCCUGCACUGUACUCCUUGCCUCUACCUUCACACUGGCAGCUCCUAUUUUGCCCAUUUGGACUUUCAUCCCUAUUGCUCCAUGGAAAUCCCACAUUAAUGCUAUCAAGGAUGUCUGUGAUGGCAAAUCUGAUGAUUGUUUCUCUGUCCUUGUCCUACUUUUCCUACUCAGCAGUAUCCAACACAGUGACCAUUUCUUUCUUGGCACACUUGCUUUUACAAGCUUAUAAUAAACUAUAGAGUCAGCUGUCCAUAUCUGUGGUUUCCAGAUCAGUGGAUUCAACAAAUUCUUGUGGAUUGAAAAUAUUUUUAAAGAUUGUGUCUAGGCUGAACACAGAAAAACUUUUCUUGUCAUCAUCCACUAAAAAAU
rnacentral:lncRNA from 1 species